GACGAACGCUGGCGGCGUGCCUAACACAUGCAAGUCGAGCGGAGACAGGGAGUAGCUUGCUAUGAGCUGUUUUAGCGGCGGACGGGUGAGUAACGCGUGAGCAACCUUUCCCAGACAGGGGAAUAACACACCGAAAGGUGUACUAAUACCGCAUAAGACCACGGGAUCACAUGGUUCUGGGGUAAAAGAUUUAUCGGUUUGGGGUGGGCUCGCGUCCGAUUAGGUAGUUGGUGAGGUAACGGCCCACCAAGCCGACGAUCGGUAGCCGACCUGAGAGGGUGAUCGGCCACAUUGGGACUGAGACACGGCCCAAACUCCUACGGGAGGCAGCAGUGGGGAAUAUUGGGCAAUGGAGGAAACUCUGACCCAGCAACGCCGCGUGGAGGAAGAAGGUUUUCGGAUCGUAAACUCCUGUCCUUGGA
rnacentral:rRNA from 1 species